CCUGCCCUGCGGGGCUGUGCCUUCUCGCCUGGCUGCCUCCGCCUUUCUUGGGGGAAUGUCACGCUCGCGGCGCUUCUCCUAACAGCUAACCUUUGUGACAGCCUUUUCAGCCACGGGAGAGUUUUCUACAUUCCUUCUUUAUUUUGUCUUGGCGUUCCAUUUUGCAAUAACCCACCAAAUUAUUAUAACAUUGUCGGGGCGUUUACUAAAAUAUUCAAUAAAUGCUACAAGUUUGGGUAUUUGCUUUAAAAUUUUACAGUCCAAGAGAAAAAAAAAUGGAGAAGAGAGGUGAAAUAAGAUAGGCAAAAAGUUGAGGGUCGAAGCUGGGUGAUGGGUACUCGAGGCUGCAUUACAGUAUUCUUUCUAGUUCUGUGUCUUGGAAUUUUUCCAUAAUUUAAAAAAAUUCAGGAGGGACUGAAGGAGGGGCUUUUCAAUAAAAACUUAGCACGCUGAUGAGGGUACGUAAACAUCUAAUAAUUACGGCGUACCUCCAGAGGUUGUAGUGCUGUUGUUUUAAUGAAGACUCCCAGAGCUUCUUGGUCCUUGGUAACCCAUAAAUUAUCAUUUAUUGUUCAUUAUAAUUAGCGUUGUUAUUAUAGGCGACACGUCUCCCAGGACGGGACAAAAAGCAAACAAACCAGGUGCCUUAGGCCAGAGACACUUUCACACGGAAUAUCAAUGGGGCAUGUGGUUGACUGCCCUGGAACAUUUAUUUGUUUACUCUCUCCCUCCUAAAUUAGAAAAUACCAUAUUCGUGAGUUCUAAUCUACAUAAUCAGAUAGUCCCUGGGAAGAGAUUUCUCCUUUCUGUUCUUCUAUGUGUUUUCUGUGAAUUAUUUUGUUACUUGUGAAAUAUGGGAAGGCACACAACAUAGCUUUGGCAGCGCUCUUCUUUGCGGAGCAGCUAAGGAAUUUUAAAACUAGGUCCCUUUGCAUAUUAGCUCGGACUAAACACAGGCAUCUGUUUGGAGCACAGAGCAACUGGGGGAAGGCAGCCCAAAAAGCUAACACUUAUUUCAGAGAGGUGUGAGCUUGGUGAGGGUUUUGGAAAAUAAGAUAAAAUUAGCACACCAGUUUUAAAUGAUUUACAGGCUACAUAAUUUUAUCCAAUGCUUGUUUUAUCUUUUAAACAUUAAGUGAUAACUUUUAUUUGACAUAAUCAUCUUGCUGGAAAUCUAUGCUGAUAAACAUAAUAGGAGCAUGAAACUAACUUAGAGACUAGAGCUAAGAUUAAAAUUACAGAGAUGACAGCUCAUUGUACAGAGCAUCAAUAGGCUGAGUGGACAGGGCCCACAGACAGAAAGCAGCUCGACCAACUAUCCACCAUCAGAGAAAUGAAGAGUUUGUGAUCAAAGCAUGAAGGAGACUGGGGAUGUUUUUUUCAAGUAAGAAGGCAAAGACAGCCUCUUGAAUGAUGUGAACAGUGAUGGCUUUCUCUGAGAGUAAGACAAGAAAGCUUUGUAAAUGGCGUUGAAUUUCCUGCUCUUGGCAGGCCCUGCUCAGCACAGAAGAAAAGACUGAUCAAGUUGUCCAAGAUGGAGCCCUUUAUCCACGUUAGUCCACUUAUCUCUUUAAGAUUAAAGGAAAGCAAUCAUUAAAAA
rnacentral:lncRNA from 1 species